UCUGACGUGUAUUAUCGCUAUAAUAGUCCUGUCUGUGUUGUUGUAUCAUCUCGAUGACACAUGUCCGCACGUGCCUUUGGGAAUGUGGUAUUUCGUAGUCACUAUGACAUCACUGGGAUAUGGGGACUACGUACCAUCAGCGACCUCGGGAAAACUGCUUGGAGCUGUUGCUGUCAUUCUUGGAAUACUCGUUGUCUCUUUACCCGUCCCAAUUAUUCAGAAUAAGAUUGGUGCAAGUUUAGACGUUGAUCCAGAACCAGAAACAGACGAGAUAGUUUUAGACAGUUUGUAUCCGCCUG